rnacentral:rRNA from 1 species
AGUGAACGCUGGCGGUAGGCCUAACACAUGCAAGUCGAACGGCAGCACAGUAAGAGCUUGCUCUUACGGGUGGCGAGUGGCGGACGGGUGAGGAAUACAUCGGAAUCUACUUUUUCUUGGGGGAUAACGUAGGGAAACUUACGCUAAUACCGCAUACGACCUACGGGUGAAAGCAGGGGAUCUUCGGACCUUGCGCGAUUGAAUGAGCCGAUGUCGGAUUAGCUAGUUGGCGGGGUAAAGGCCCACCAAGGCGACGAUCCGUAGCUGGUCUGAGAGGAUGAUCAGCCACACUGGAACUGAGACACGGUCCAGACUCCUACGGGAGGCAGCAGUGGGGAAUAUUGGACAAAGGGCGCAAGCCUGCUCCAGCCAUACCGCGUGGGUGAAGAAGGCCUUCGGGUUGUAAAGCCCUUUUGUUGGGAAAGAAAAGCAGCAGGUUAAUACCCCGCUGUUCUGACGGUACCCAAAGAAUAAGCACCGGCUAACUUCGUG